rnacentral:rRNA from 1 species
GAUGAACGCUGGCGGCGUGCUUAACACAUGCAAGUCGAACGGAAAGGCUCCUGCUUGCAGGGGUACUCGAGUGGCGAACGGGUGAGUAACACGUGGGUGAUCUGCCCUGCACUUCGGGAUAAGCCUGGGAAACUGGGUCUAAUACCGGAUAGGACGAUGGUUUGGAUGCCAUUGUGGAAAGUUUUUUCGGUGUGGGAUGAGCUCGCGGCCUAUCAGCUUGUUGGUGGGGUAAUGGCCUACCAAGGCGUCGACGGGUAGCCGGCCUGAGAGGAUGUACGGCCACAUUGGGACUGAGAUACGGCCCAGACUCCUACGGGAGGCAGCAGUGGGGAAUAUUGCACAAUGGGCGCAAGCCUGAUGCAGCGACGCCGCGUGGGGGAUGACGGCCUUCGGGUUGUAAACUCCUUUCGCUAGGGACGAAGCGCAAGUGACGGUACCUGGAGAAGAAGCACCGGCUAACUACGUG